rnacentral:rRNA from 1 species
UGCCAGCAGCCGCGGUAAUACGGAGGGUGCAGGCGUUGUUCGGAAUUACUGGGCGUAAAGCGCGCGUAGGCGGCUUUUUAAGUCAGAUGUGAAAGUCCACGGCUCAACCGUGGAAGUGCAUUUGAAACUGGAAAGCUUGAGUAUCAGAGGGGAUGGUGGAAUUCCCGGUGUAGAGGUGAAAUUCGUAGAUAUCGGGAGGAAUACCGGUGGCGAAGGCGACCAUCUGGCUGAAUACUGACGCUACGCGGUGCGAAAGCGCGGAAGACCAACGUGAUUACCCG